CCCUUAGAUGUUCUGGGCCGCACGCGUGCUACACUGAUGCAUUCAACGAGUCUAAAACCUGGUCUGAUAGGGCUGGGUAAUCUUUUGAAAGUGCAUCGUGAUUGGGAUAGAUGAUUGCAAUUCUUCAUCUUCAACGAGGAAUUCCUAGUAAGCGCAAGUCAACAGCUUGCGUUGAUUACGUCCCUGCCCUUUGUACACACCGCCCGUCGCUACUACUGAUUGGAUGUUUAAGCGAGGUUCUCGAACUGCUAGCGACUUAGCUUCGGUGAGGUCGCAGUGUGGGAAGUGAACCUAGCUUUGGUGUCUAGAGGAAGUAAAAGUCGUAACA
rnacentral:rRNA from 1 species